CACCAACUCAAACAAGGACGUGAAGAACGACAGUGAAGAGAGCUUUGGAUUAGGAUGCAUGGGAUGUGUUGACAUUAUAUUGCAGAUGAGACAACCGAUGGAUGGACGACGUUACAGCUGCAAUGCAUGGUUGGCUUGGUUGACAGCACAGCACAGAUUUUGGAAUUAAAGGAGAUUUACGUAAUUUGUUUGUACAGAAGAAGAGAGUAGUAAUUGAUUGGGGGUGGAAGACGACACAGGUAGCAGCUGCAUGGAGUAAUUAAUAUUCUAGCUAUAUAUGGAUCGAGACGGGGGACGAAUUCGAUUAUUGAGACUGGGAGCAGACGAUAUGAUAUGAUAUGAUCAGUAGUCGGCGGUGGGCAGCUGGUCGUGCGGGCGCUGGCCGAUGAAGAUGAUGUCGUAGAUGAGCGCGGCGAUGGCGGCGCCGACGAAGGGGCCGAGCCAGUAGACCCAGUGGUUGUCCCAGACUCCGGUGACGACGGCGGGGCCGAAGGAGACGGCGGGGUUCAUGGAGGCGCCGUCGAAGGCGCCGCCGGCGAGGAUGUUGGCGCCGACGAUGAAGCCGAUGGCGAUGGGGGCGAUGACACCGAGGUCGCCCUUCUUGGGAUCCACCGCGGUGGCGUACACGGUGUAGACGAGGCCGAAGGUCAUGACGAUCUCGAACACCACCGCGUUCCAGGCGCCCACGCCCGCCGACAGCGAGAAGGCACCCACGGCGGCGCCGCCCGUCGCGAUCUUGAGCAGCAGGCACGCCACCACCGACCCCAGCAGCUGCGCCACCCAGUACACCACCGCCUUCACCAGGCUGAUGUUCCCCCCCACGAACGCGCCGAAUGUCACCGCCGGGUUCACGUGCCCGCCGGAGAUGUUGGCUCCCACCGCCACCGCCACGAACAGGGCCAGCGCGUGCGCCAGGGAGGCGGCGAUCAGCCCCGACGGCGUCGUGCCGCCGCCGUCCGUCAGCUUGCCUACGUACCAUU
rnacentral:lncRNA from 1 species